rnacentral:rRNA from 1 species
GACGAACGCGGCGGCGUGCUUAACACAUGCAAGUCGAACGAAGAGCGAUGGAAGCUUGCUUCUAUCAAUCUUAGUGGCGAACGGGUGAGUAACGCGUAAUCAACCUGCCCUUCAGAGGGGGACAACAGUUGGAAACGACUGCUAAUACCGCAUACGAUCUGAUCUCGGCAUCGAGGAUAGAUGAAAGGUGGCCUCUACAUGUAAGCUAUCACUGAAGGAGGGGAUUGCGUCUGAUUAGCUAGUUGGAGGGGUAACGGCCCACCAAGGCGAUGACCAGUAGCCGGUCUGAGAGGAUGAACGGCCACAUUGGGACUGAGACACGGCCCAGACUCCUACGGGAGGCAGCAGUGGGGAAUCUUCCGCAAUGGACGAAAGUCUGACGGAGCAACGCCGCGUGAGUGAUGACGGCCUUCGGGUUGCAAAGCUCUGUUAAUCGGGACGAAAGGCCUUCUUGCGAAUAGUGAGAAGGAUUGACGGUACCGGAAUAGAAAAGCC